CUUAAAUAUGGUUUGUGAUUACAUUUUUGAUGCCAUUAUUUUCAAAGUUAUUCCUCCUAAAUAUGUAAGUUGCCAACAGGCUGUGCAAAUACCAUUGAUUUUGCCAAAUUAUCAAAAAUGACUUGUAAUUCGUUUUGAAGCAUAAAAAUAUGUUUGGAAUCAAUUAAUUGUAGAAUUUGACUUCUGUACUCGUGUUCUGUAUCACUUUGUCCCUCGCGUGUCCUCGGUGUGGUGACGAGGUUUCUUAUCUGUUGUGCUGAUUCACUUUUACUCUUUUGACAUAUAGUUUUGCUUGAUGCUUGCAUUACUAGCUUCCUUGCCAUCUACCUAUGGAGACUUAGAUGGCCAUGUAAUAUAUAUUGAUGUGGAAUCCAAUAGUUCAACAAAGUACUUAUUGAUCCGACUGUACUAAUUUCUAUGCUUUACCAUGAAUAGAUUUCUAGAAUCUUAUAGUCACACUCUGCCUUUAUUUUCAAAAUGAUAGAAAUGGGGUUUGACAGUUUUCCAGAAAUAUUUCACACGAAAGGAAUGGCAAAAGAGACAAACAUGUUCAGUGUUCUGUACUUUAUCUUUCUCAAUUCAUUCCUUGAUGUCUGUGAUGGGUAUGAGAUGAUAUAAUGUUUCAGCCCUUUUUAUGGUGGUUCAAGAUAACCAAGAAAUGGGUUUAUCUGUAUAUUAUGUUAAGGGCUAUUAAUUUAGUUAGAUCAAGAAUUAGAAUAUCAAUUUCAAGUUUAACCAUAAUGCUCAUAUCCUAUGUUGGCUGAGGACAUGACUAAUAAUUUUUAGGGUUAUUACUUGCAAAUACCAUGUUUUUAUAUAGAGAUUGACGUGCCAUCAAAAUUAUUUUGUAAUUUGUCCACAACUGUGAGUAGUCAUAGGGAUUGAACCUUCCACUUUAAAAUGCAGUUUUAAGUUCCUCUUCAGCUACAAAUAGAUUUUUCCUCACCUGCCUUGAUUGCCUUUACUAUUUUCUUCAACCUUCUAAUAUAAGAAUACUUAAAAGAU
rnacentral:lncRNA from 1 species